rnacentral:rRNA from 1 species
UUACUGGGCGUAAAGGGUCCGUAGGCGCCCGUGUGUGUCGGGUGUGAAAUCCUGCAGCUUAACUGUAGCAUUGCGCUCGAAACUACACGGCUAGAGUAUUGGAGAGGUGAGUGGAAUUCCAGGUGUAGCGGUGAAAUGCGUAGAUAUCUGGAGGAACACCAACGGCGAAGGCAGCUCACUGGACAAUGACUGACGCUGAGGGACGAAAGCGUGGGGAGCGAAAGGGAUUAGAUACCCCUGUAGUCCACGCCGUAAACUUUGUGCACUCGCUAUUGGCGGAUUCGACCCCGUCAGUGGCCAAGCCAACGCGAUAAGUGCACCGCCUGAGGACUACGGCCGCAAGGCUAAAACUCAAAGGAAUUGACGGGUCCCCGCACAAGCGGUGGAGCAUGUGGCUUAAUUCGAUGCAACGCGAAGAACCUUACCAGGUCUUGACAUGUAGCGGACCGGGGCAGAGAUGCCCCUUCUCUUCGGAGCCGCUUCACAGGUGCUGCAUGGCUGUCGUCAGCUCGUGUCGUGAGAUGUUCGGUUAAGUCCGUCAACGAGCGCAACCCCUGUCCUUAGUUGCCAGCAUUCAGUUGGGGACUCUAAGGAGACAAUCCCGCUUUUGCGGGAGGGAAGGUGGGGAUGAUGUCAAGUCAGUAUGGCCCUUACGGCCUGGGCUGCACACGUGCUACAAUGCCCGGUACAAUAGGUCGCUACUCCGCGAGGAGAUGCUAAUCCAGAAAGCCGGGCCCAGUUCGGAUUGGAGUCUGCAACUCGACUCCAUGAAGUCGGAAUCGCUAGUAAUGGCGCAUCAGCAAUGGCGCCGUGAAUACGUUCCCGGGGAUUGUACACACCGCCCGUCACAUCAUGAAAGCCGGUUUCGCCCGAAGUACGUGCGCC